rnacentral:rRNA from 1 species
AAACUUUCAACAACGGAUCUCUUGGCUCUGGCAUCGAUGAAGAACGCAGCGAAA